GAUGAACGCUAGCGGCAGGCUUAAUACAUGCAAGUCGAGGGGCAGCAGGGUGUAGCAAUACAUCGCUGGCGACCGGCAAACGGGUGCGGAACACGUACGCAACUUACCCAAAACUGGGGGAUAGCCCGGGGAAACCCGGAUUAAUACCUCGUAACAUUAUGGAGUGGCAUCACUCUAGAAUUAUAGCCCCGGCGGGUUUGGAUGGGCGUGCGCCUGAUUAGGUAGUUGGUUGAGGUAACGGCUCACCAAGCCUGCGAUCAGUAACUGGUGUGAGAGCACGACCAGUCACACGGGCACUGAGACACGGGCCCGACUCCUACGGGAGGCAGCAGUAAGGAAUAUUGGUCAAUGGACGCAAGUCUGAACCAGCCAUGCCGCGUGAAGGAUGAAGGUCCUCUGGAUUGUAAACUUCUUUUAUAUGGGACGAAACCCGGGAAUUCCUUCCCGAUUGACGGUACCAUAAGAAUAAGCUCCGGCUAACUCCGUGCCAGCCGCCGCCGUAAUAC
rnacentral:rRNA from 1 species